rnacentral:lncRNA from 10 species
CUGAAGCAAGGCUGUGGUGACCACACUGCCUGCUUUUACUUUUGGUGUGAAAUAAAAAAUGAUGGCAUAGGACAGGCCACGGGAUGUCUCACCUGCUGAGCAGCCUAGGCUGACCUAACCAAAUUUGUCUUUGAAUCAGUCAGCCUUUGCGUCUCUGGAGAUGGGUUAGGUAACACCCACUCAGAAAGGCUUUGCUGUGCCUUCACCUGAUUGGAGAACCUAAACCUCUUGACAGGUACUGUCUUAUUCAUCACCCCAGAACCUAGCACUAGUACAUGCUCAGCAGAGUGCAUGAAGGAGUCUCAGAGGAGAUGACAGCAUGUUUCUGAGCUUCUUAAGGAAACUUAUUUUCAUAAUCCUCCUGGAUCUACCAGGAUAUUAUAACGAAGUGUGUUGUGAUUUAGCAUCUUUUAGCAGUGCUUUUACUUCCUAAACAAAUUUAGUUCGCUUUUUUGUAUUUUGCCGGAAUACUGACAUCUGAUUCUGUACUCUGAUUUUGGGGAUAUCCUGUUUUAAAAACCAGUAGGACUGACUGUGUUGGCCCUGCAUGAAUCUCUUUAACCACCUAUGGAGCAAACAAAACAUUUUGAAAAUGGAAAAUAUAUCACAUUCGCAACAAGCACAUUUGAAUAUGUUUUUUAUUAUAGACCCAUAUGAUUGAAUGCAGUAGCCACUGCCUGCACGUGGCUAGCUAGCACUUGAAGUGUGACAAUUUGGGAUUGAAAGAUGCUGGAAAUGUGAAAUACACACCAAGUUCCAAAGAUUUCAUAUAUUGAUUACAUGUUGAAAUAACAGUGUUUUCGUUAUAUUGAGUUAAAAUAUUAAAAUAUUGUAAGAUUUGAUAUCACUUGUUUCUUUU